rnacentral:rRNA from 1 species
GACGAACGCUGGCGGCGUGCUUAACACAUGCAAGUCGAACGGAAAGGCCCUGCUUUUGUGGGGUGCUCGAGUGGCGAACGGGUGAGUAACACGUGAGUAACCUACCCCUGACUUUGGGAUAACUUCAGGAAACUGGGGCUAAUACCGGAUAGGAGCUCCUGCUGCAUGGUGGGGGUUGGAAAGUUUCGGCGGUUGGGGAUGGACUCGCGGCUUAUCAGCUUGUUGGUGGGGUAGUGGCUUACCAAGGCUUUGACGGGUAGCCGGCCUGAGAGGGUGACCGGCCACAUUGGGACUGAGAUACGGCCCAGACUCCUACGGGAGGCAGCAGUGGGGAAUAUUGCACAAUGGGCGGAAGCCUGAUGCAGCAACGCCGCGUGCGGGAUGACGGCCUUCGGGUUGUAAACCGCUUUCGCCUGUGACGAAGCGUGAGUGACGGUAAUGGGUAAAGAAGCACCGGCUAACUACGUG